CCUACGGGGGGCAGCAGUGGGGAAUAUUGCACAAUGGGCGCAAGCCUGAUGCAGCGACGCCGCGUGGGGGAUGACGGCCUUCGGGUUGUAAACCUCUUUCAGCUACGACGAAGCGGAAGUGACGGUAGUAGCAGAAGAAGCACCGGCCAACUACGUGCCAGCAGCCGCGGUAAUACGUAGGGUGCGAGCGUUGUCCGGAAUUACUGGGCGUAAAGAGCUCGUAGGUGGUUUGUCGCGUUGUUCGUGAAAACUCACAGCUUAACUGUGGGCGUGCGGGCGAUACGGGCAGACUGGAGUACUGUAGGGGAGACUGGAAUUCCUGGUGUAGCGGUGGAAUGCGCAGAUAUCAGGAGGAACACCGGUGGCGAAGGCGGGUCUCUGGGCAGUAACUGACGCUGAGGAGCGAAAGCGUGGGGAGCGAACAGGAUUAGAUACCCUGGUAGUCGAU
rnacentral:rRNA from 1 species